rnacentral:rRNA from 1 species
UACGUAGGGUGCAAGCGUUAAUCGGAAUUACUGGGCGUAAAGCGUGCGCAGGCGGUUUUGUAAGCCAGAUGUGAAAUCCCCGGGCUUAACCUGGGAAUGGCAUUUGGGACUGCAAGGCUUGAGUGCGGCAGAGGAGACUGGAAUUCCUGGUGUAGCAGUGAAAUGCGUAGAUAUCAGGAGGAACACCGAUGGCGAAGGCAGGUCACUGGGCCGCGAACUGACGCUGAGGAGCGAAAGCAUGGGGAGCGAACAGG